CCUGAGAAUCUUACUAAUCUUCGUAAUAACUGAUAAUUGCAUGGUUUUGAAAAGUGUUUUUAAAAAACUACCCAUUAGGAGUGAAAACAAUGUAGUGAGUUGCAAUCAGCAUAUAAAAAAUUAAAUACAAUAGUAAUAUACCAAGUGACUCCCAGGUAGUAAGGGAUGCAGAGCUGGAAGAAACCUCAGGAAUGCUUUCGAUUUUGCAGAUGAGGACAGAAGCCCAGGACUUGCCAAAGGAACCUCAUGGGAGAGUCUGGAUUAGUUCAGAGACCUCACCUUUCCAUUUAACUUCUGAGUCUUGGUUUUCUUAUCUGUAAAUAGGGUUAUUAAAGUUAUACCUUCUUUG
rnacentral:lncRNA from 1 species